rnacentral:rRNA from 1 species
UCUACGGGUGGCUGCAGUGGGGAAUAUUGGGCAAUGGGCGCAAGCCUGACCCAGCAACGCCGCGUGAAGGAAGAAGGCUUUCGGGUUGUAAACUUCUUUUCUCAGGGACGAAGAAAGUGACGGUACCUGAGGAAUAAGCCACGGCUAACUACGUGCCAGCAGCUGCGGUAAUACGUAGGUGGCAAGAGUUAUCCGGAUUUAUUGGGUGUAAGGGGCGUGUAGGCGGGAGCGCAAGUCAGAGGUGAAAACUCAGGGCUCAACCCUGCGCCCGCAUUUGAAACUGUGUUUCUUGAGUGCUGGAGAGGCAAGCGGAAUUCGGGGUGUAGCGGUGAAAUGCGUAGAUAUACGGAGGAACACCAGUGGCGAAGGCGGAUUGCUGGACAGAAACUGACGCUGAGGCGCGAAAGCGUGGGGAGCAAACAGGAUUAGAUACCCGUGUAGUC